ACCCUUCGGUUUUCUUUCCCAUCAGAUCGAAACACUGGUCUGAACGGUUACAAAAGGAGGAAAAAUAACACUGAAAUGGGGCUUCAAUGCUUUUGUAGCACAUAGAUUAGUUUAGAAGACAU
rnacentral:snoRNA from 1 species